UAGCUCCUGUGUCGGCAAAGCAUCUGCCUGCAACGCGGGAGACCUGGGUUCAAUUCUUGGAAUGAGCCUGGAGCAUUUUGUAAUGCCAGAAACUUCGGAAAGACUCACACACAUACACACACGUAUACUGUGUUAAAGGGACAUGGACCAACUAACUGACAGAGCUCCCAGAACCCAGUAGAGGCGCGAGUGGACACCCAGCUCGACACCCAGUGUGGUCACUCACCAAGCCCUGGAUCCCAGCGUGAGGCCGAGGUGGGGGCCUCUCCCAAAGAGGUGCCUUUCCCUAACUCACACAAGGCGUCCCGUGGGCCGGCACUAGUGCUGGACGCAGACCCCUCGGCCUUUAGCCUCUCCCCUCUUGGUGCAGCCCUGGGUCCAUCUCUCCAAGCAGGGUUGGGAGCCUUCCCUCCUCCACGUGUCCUCAGGGAGCCCUGUGCAUGCCAGGAACCCUCCCCCUGGCCCAGACUGCUGGCUUUCCGCUAUCCC
ensembl:lncRNA